rnacentral:tRNA from 1 species
GGAGAGGUGCUAGAGCGGUCGAAUAGGGCACCCUGCUAAGGUGUUAGGUCUUCACGGGCCUCGAGGGUUCGAAUCCCUCCCUCUCCG